AGUUAAUUAAUUUAAAUAAAAAUUUUUAUUUUGAAAAUAAAUCUUAGAAUAAAAUUCUAUUAACUUA
rnacentral:tRNA from 2 species